AAUUUUGGACAAUGGGGGAAACGCUGAGUCAGCCAUCCCGCGUGUAUGAUGAAGGCGUUCGGGUUGUAAAGUAUUUUUGUCAGGGAAGAAAAGCUAUCCCCUAAGACGGGAUACGGCUGACGGUAGCUGCAGAAGAAGCACCGGCUAACGACGUGCCAGCAGCCGCGGUAAUACGUAGGGUGCAAGCGUUAAUCGGAAUUACUGGGCGUAAAGCGUGUGUAGGCGGUUCGGAAAGAAAGAUGUGAAAUCCCAGGGCUCAACCUUGGAACUGCAUUUUUAACUGCCGAGCUAGAGUAUGUCAGAGGGGGGUAGAAUUCCACGUGUAGCAGUGAAAUGCGUAGAUAUGUGGAGGAAUACCGAUGGCGAAGGCAGCCCCCUGGGAUAAUACUGACGCUCAGACACGAAAGCGUGGGGAGCAAACAGG
rnacentral:rRNA from 1 species